rnacentral:lncRNA from 1 species
UUUCAACUAUACUCAACAAUUUGAAGCUAUUUCUCUACUUCUGUAUGUACUGUGCUUUGAAUGAGAGAAAAAAAUAUGAACUACGGGAUAUGGAAAUUGGAAUUCAUUCUCUUUAGAAUACCAGUUUACAAUUAUAUUUUGGUAGAUUUUCUGCAUAAUUUUCAAUCGAAAUUAGAGGCUAUUACAGGGGUGGUUUGGAAUAUUUUAUAAACUUCCCCCAUCAAAGAAGUGAGUGCCCCCUUCCUUGAAAUACUUGAAGAAUGCCAAGAUAAAGAAUAUAGGGGAAAUUGCACUGCAUGACUUUACAAGUUAGCAAAGAGCGUGUCAUUUCCUCAUACCCUUUGAACACCAUCGCUGGGAGGCGUGAGCCACUGUGAGCUGAGGAAGAUCAGUCACCAGGAGUUCAUCUUGGGUGAACAGUGCAUGGAGACAGAGAUGCCAGGGGAGGUUCAGCGUCCCUCUUCCCUCUGUUGAAACAGUGGACAGGGGGCCAGAGCUGCAAG